CUUCACUUCCGAGCUCGGGUCCCGCGUGGGGGCGGCGGAGAGGCGAGGAAAAUCCGGCCGAAAGCAGCUCCGAAGCGGCGUGGACGGCAACAAUGAAUAAAUUGCAUUUGCCGGAUAAGCCUACAUUGGUUCGUACUGCAUUGGAUUGCCAAGCAUCCGAAUUUUUUGAUCCUCGUGAUCCUGCGGCUGCCCCAACGGUCAUAAGUGUGAAAAACGGCCAAUGAGAAAAAAAGAGAGACAGAGAGAGAAACAAUGAGACGGGGAGAGAGAGAGAGAAUGAGAAAAAGAGAGAGAGAGAGAAACAAUGAGCGUGCCAGAGAGAGACAUCUAAGCAAUCGAUAUACUUGCACUUUUCAAUUUUCGCAAGGCAACACUUGGAAACUUCAAGAGGCCAACAGUCCAACCCUGCACAGAAUUUAAAAGCAACAAUAACUUUUAGCCCAUGUUGGUUUGGUACACCCGUACACAAGUGUGCAGGGCGAUUACUGUAGCUGAAGAGAUCUCCAAAGACAUGUUUGACUUGGCUUGUCCUCGGAAAAAAGGGGAUCGCGUGACCCUGGGAAACUGCGACCGUCAUAAUGACCCGAGCGUCUGAAUUUUCAUCACGUGACCAAAGGGAUGCUGCAACGGUCGUAAGUGGGAAAAACGGUCAUAAGUCGCUUUUUCAAGUGCCUUUGGGCCUUCAAAUGAUCACUAAAGGAACUGUCGUAAGUCGAGGACUACCUGUAGCCUCUCCCUCCCUUCCCUUUUCCUUCCUUCGUCCUCCCCCACUACCUUCCCCUUCCUCCUCCUCAUUUUCUUCAUCUUUCCCUCACUCCUCUUUGCUUGCUUCCGUCUUUGUUUCUGGUCUUCCUGCCUUCCUUCCUCCUCCUCCUCCCUCUUCCUCCCCUUCCUCCUUUUCUUCCUCUUUCCCUCCCUCCCUUCCCUUUUGCCAGUAGUGAAAUCUGAACCGGUUGUUCUGUCCCCCCUCGCCUCAGUCCCAGCGAUGGCUUAAUUAGCCGGUGCUAUCAGCUCUGGCAGCAAACUAGCGAGCAUCUGCCAAGUGUCUCUGUUAUCUCGCUUGAUGCCGAUGAGUCAACAAACAGUACUUCAGCUCUAGUCAAGCAGUUGAUUUGCCUGCUACGAAGAGGCACAGCAGUCCUUGCUGCUUUUAUAUUCUGUGGGGUGUGGCUCCAUGACUCAGCACUUCCUAGGCCUGCCCCACCCCUGCUUCUGUUGUUCCCUCCUCUCCUGCCUAUGAAACCUAGGGUCCAGCCAGGCCUGAUUGCCAUCAGCUGGGUCUGGAGACGUGGCCUGGGGGGGGGAAGAGUCAGGGGAUGGAGGCCUCAUUAUCUCCUCCACCUGGCCUGCCUCUGGCUCCUGGAGCUGAGCCAGGGAAGCCGGUGCUCCAGAGGUAACUCCUGACGGCCCUUCCCCCUCAUUUUCCGAGUCACUUUCUGGCAGGGGGCCCGGCUCAGGGGGCACAGACACAAUACUGGUUUACUACCGGUUCGCUGGCGGCACAUGUGCACUGCGUGCCAAGUGCG